rnacentral:rRNA from 1 species
AUAAGAGGUCCAGCCUGCCCAGUGACUAAGUUCAACGGCCGCGGUAUCCUAACCGUGCGAAGGUAGCGUAAUCACUUGUUCUUUAAAUGAGGACUAGUAUGAAUGGCACCACGAAGGUUAUGCUGUCUCCUUUUUCUAAUCAAUGAAACUGAUCUCCCCGUGAAGAAGCGGGGAUACAACUAUAAGACGAGAAGACCCUAUGGAGCUUUAAACCAUGUAACACUGGCUCAUACAUUAAAAUAUUUCAGAAUUUCUCAUAAUUACUCUAGCCACCAUGAUUACUAGUUUUAGGUUGGGGUGACCACGGAGCAAAAAUUAACCUCCAUGUUAAACGGAGCUACUCCUGAGCCAAAAGCCACGACUUUAAGCACUAAUAAAUUAAUAUUAAUUGACCCAAUAUUUUUGAUCAACGAACCAAGUUACCCUAGGGAUAACAGCGCAAUCCAUUUUAAGAGCCCCUAUCGACAAAUGGGUUUACGACCUCGAUGUUGGAUCAGGGUGUCCCAGUGGUGCAGCCGCUACUAAAGGUUCGUUUGUUCAACGAUUAAAACCCUACGUGA